rnacentral:rRNA from 1 species
GACGAACGCUGGCGGCGUGCUUAACACAUGCAAGUCGAACGGUGAAGCUCCAGCUUGCUGGAGUGGAUCAGUGGCGAACGGGUGAGUAACACGUGAGCAACCUGCCCCUGACUCUGGAAUAAGCGCUGGAAACGGCGUCUAAUACUGGAUACGAGAAGGGUCCGCAUGGGCACUUUCUGGAAAGUUUUUCGGUUGGGGAUGGGCUCGCGGCCUAUCAGCUUGUUGGUGAGGUAAUGGCUCACCAAGGCGACGACGGGUAGCCGGCCUGAGAGGGCGACCGGCCACACUGGGACUGAGACACGGCCCAGACUCCUACGGGGGGCAGCAGUGGGGAAUAUUGCACAAUGGGCGAAAGCCUGAUGCAGCGACGCCGCGUGAGGGAUGACGGCCUUCGGGUUGUAAACCUCUUUCAGCAGGGAAGAAGCGAAAGUGACGGUACCUGCAGAAGAAGCACCGGCUAACUACGUG